GUGAAUCAUCAAAUUUUUGAACGCAAAUUGCGCCUUUUUCGGAAGGCAUGUCUGUUUGAGGGCACCAUUUAACAAAAAAUGUGCAGCGUUUUUGGUGGCACACGUUGUUGAGAUUUCCAAGAAUUUAAAAUUUUUGGGGGCGCAUAAUGAAAAGAGUGAACGUUUUUUCAGUUCGAGUGUAGUAAAAUUUUUGCUUGGGUUGUGAAAAAACAUAAUCGCGCAAUGGGUUGGCCGGUUCU
rnacentral:misc_RNA from 1 species